CUCAUAGCAGAAAAAAAAAGCUUUUAAAAGAAGCUCUCUCCCCUAUUUAGCUCCUGCCAAAGAGCCACCGUGUUCCGCCGAUGGCCACCGGUCGCCGGCGAUGGUCUCCGCCGUGCCCGGUGGCCGAAAAAGCUAAAAGACCCCCCUUUUUUUAAAGUUUUCUUUUCUAAAUAUGAGCCCGAUUUAGCCAUUGUUUUAACACACACAAAAAAAAUAAAGUAAAAUUGGGAAAAGGGGUUCUAUUUUCCCUUCUCUAGACCCUUGUUUGAAACCCAACGGGUUUCGAGAUGUCUAAACGUCGACAAUGGCCUUCGACGGUGGAGAGAAAACAGAACGAAAGGUAUAUUUUCUACUAUUUUCUUAUUUAUUUCGAAUAUAUUAAGGAGUAAAAAGAGAAAGCACCUUUUUUCAGCUUAGAAUAUGAUUUUUGGUUGCUAUUGCUUUUUCUUUUCUUUCUAUUUCUCUGUAUUCGUAGAAAAAAAAUUACAUCGUAGUUGUUCAUGGCUUUUAUAGCUGAAAAAGAAAAAUAAAAAUACAAUAUUGUUGCUCUAUUAUUUUUGUUCUUUUUUUUUUGUUGUUGCUGUCCAUUUCUACAGGUAUGGAGAAGUCCAGUUGGCGUGUGGUGGUGCGUACGGAGGCCAACGUGGCGCGCAGCGGCCAUGGCUGACCUAGGGUUUCCACGGUUUGCUGAAAAACUAGUUUAGUUUUGGCCUAUAGUAUUGGGCUUAGGGUUUUUUUUUGGGGGUUUGUAAUUGGGCUUUGUUAUAUUGUAAAUGACUGUAUAAAAUUUGGACUUUUAUUAUUUUGGUUUA
rnacentral:lncRNA from 1 species